rnacentral:rRNA from 1 species
UACGUAGGAGACGAGCGUUGUCCGGAGUUACUGGGCGUAAAGGGUGCGCAGGUGGCGGCGCGCGUGGGGGGUGAAAUCGCCCGGCUUAACUGGGCGGGGGCCUUCCAGACGGCGUGGCUUGAGCAGCGGAGGGGGACGUGGAAUUCCCAGUGUAGAGGUGAAAUUCGUAGAUAUUGGGAAGAACACCGGUGGCGAAGGCGGCAACCUGGUCCUUGACUGACGCUGAGGCGCGAAAGCGUGGGGAGCAAACAGG